rnacentral:lncRNA from 1 species
AUGCUAAUAUCAUCUAUGCCGCGUUUGACUUUCGUAACCAACCAAGUCAGCAGCUAUUCUGUCAGUUACAUUGCAGUCAUUGACAAACUGUUCCCACAAGUGCAUUGGUUUAAUCAAACACGCGCAGUUACUUUCCCCUGGGAGGAUGAUCGGGGCUAUGCCGCUAUUGAGUCAGCGUUGGUACAGAAGAAGACAUCACGGGGCAUUUCAUCCAAGCACACAUUUAUUGCAUGGAAAAAGCCAAGGGACGGUCCAGUGCUGACUUCACAGAUGAACCGUUUUUUCCUGAGUUUGUCUUUUUUCACCUCCUCCUCUCAUCCUUCAUCCUCCUUUAAUUUACCCUUCUCUGACCUGACAGGAGGGAUCCGCAUCUAUGAGGACACAGAAGCAGGCGGGCGUAAUCUAUCGAAAACAUCAACAGUUAAAUGGCACUAA